rnacentral:tRNA from 1 species
AAGGCUUUAGCUUAAUCAAAGUGUCUGUUUUGCAUGCAGAAGAUGUGGGUUAAUGUCCCGCAAGUCUUA